ACAGAGCACUAGAGCCAAAGCCAAAUGCUCCCAGUCGAGGUGCACCUGUACCAAGGGCUGCCUGUCUCUCUGAAUUAAAGCAAGGAGAGCAGCCAGGCGAGGAAGAGCCAGGCUAGGUGUUGUGUGAGAGAAGUGUCCUGGGCAGGAAGAGGUGUGAGUGCCAACAGUGGGAGUGCUGCUCCACACAGCAGCUGCUGCUCUGCUCCUCAAGGGUACUUAUAGCCACAGCACCCUUGCCACUAAGGGUAUGGAGGAGUUGGUGGCCUAGAAACAAAGGAGCUGCCUGAAGACCAAGCUGGUUUAGCUCUGCUGCUAGCUGUAGAAGAAUGAAGAGACCACUGCUUAACAGGACUUUCGCCAUGUUCUUCCUCUAAAAUGCAAGCAAAGUAAACAGCCUGAACACAUCAAGACCGUGUUCAGAGAUCAGCUUCAAAAUGCAAAUGGAAAAAAGCUGCAUGGUAAGAUCCUUUCUGCAAACGGACUGAUCCAAGCGAUUCAGGUGAAAAGUGAACAAAGAGUUAAUCCAAACGCCAAGGGCUCCAUUUCAGUAAUAGCAUGAGUAAAACCCCCACAGAAGGCUUCAUUGCUAGCAGCAAACUCCACAGAGUCCAGAUGAACCAGCAGGAAGAACAGAGGGUGGAUAAUCCUGUAAAAUUACCCCAGUGGAAAUGUUGAUAAAUUCCCAAUUAGGAGACCUGCUCUAGAAGGGGAAAAAAAAUGCGAGAUACAACACAAUUACAGGUCAACACUUGCACAUCUUUGUAUGUAAGCCAGGCAAAUACCGCAGGUGUUUCUUAAUCCCUUGAAUUUUGAAUUAGUUGCCCAUUGUGGUGAAAUCUAGAUUAGGAAAAUAAGCCCCAGAAAUCAAACAACAACAACAACAAAAAAACCCUUGACGAUGUGCAACCCUAGUUACAAAGCAAAUACCCAUCUGUGGGCUUCUACUUUCAGUAAGUAGCAUUUUCUAUGCGUUUGGGGAAAUGCAGGUACCUGCAUUUUAAUAAACCCCCCAAGAAAAACCUCGGUUCUACUGUACUUGUUCUGAAUAUAUCCAUCUUGUACUGCACAAACUAGAUUUGGUAUGAAUUUUUAAUGCCAGUGGGAAAACUGCCAAUGCAAUA